UAGAGGUUAGAAGGUGGGGCUGAAAGUUCCAACCCCUUCAUUACACAGGUGGUUUGUUCCCCGGGAAACCAGCCCUCACUCUAAGGGUAUCCAGGAGCCCACUGAGAGCCACCCCGUUAGAACAAAAGAUGCUUUUGUCACUCAGGACAUUACAAAGGAGCUCUGUGUCAGAAGCUAGGAUUAAAGAACAAAUACAGAACAAAUUAUUCCUCCAGCACCCCUACUGCAAGGAUUUUAAGAACUCUAUCUCAGGAUAAAGACCUGAGGCCCAAGGAAGACGAAGAGAUAUCUGAAUGGCCUGGACAUGGCAUGUAAAAAUGACUCAGCCAACAGCUGGAAAGAAGCUGCUGGCCUUCAGCAUCUGGCUGCGUGCAUUUCCAGCUUUGUGACUCCUCCGCUCCACAUCCGUCCAGCCCCAGCCCUGGAGGACACACCCUUACUGCCACGCCAUCUUUGUUUCCUGACCUGGUGACACCAGCUUACCCUCUCUUAGUCAUCUGGUCUCCUCUUCAACUUUGCCUCAAACUUACACAGACAAUUCUGGACUUCCAGAUAUUUGGAUUUUAGAGUUUUGCACAUUAGAACCCACAGAUGCCACCAGCGUACCUUCUGUCUUCUGUUGUUGAUUUCACACGACUUCCUGGAGACCUGAUGGCCAGACUCGCCUCUGAUGGAAAGCAACUGACCUCAAUUGACUGAGCAGGAAUGCCUGCAACUGGCAGGAUAGAACAUGUGGCCCAACGCUGAGCACAUCUUCCGCAUAUGUCCUCUGCAUGUGGCUUGUGAAUAAUGCUGUUUGGGAUCUGAUCUAUUUACUGGUUGUUCCACAUGAGUAUAUGCAGUUUUCCUUCUCUGAACCUGAUGUCAUUACUUCACUGUCAUAGCUUUACCUGGCUGGCUGCCUCCUGUCACACUAGCCCAUGCACUGGUCACAGAAAUACAUUUGGGCUAGAAAAAAACCAAGACCUUGAGUAAGCAAUUGCUCCAAUGGCUAAAUCUUGGGCAAGGCUUUCUCCUGGGACUUAUUGCUGGAAAAUUACACCAGACCUUCUCUACUUAGGUUUGAAAAUAUUCUUUUGAUUUUCAUUUUUACCACUAUUUAAUAAAAAUUCUGCCCCAAACCAAAGCAACUCAGUUUUAACAAUCUGUUAGUACUGAAAACUCGUAUACUUUUAAAAUGUCCGAAGGUACCUCUUUUAUGAGUCAGGCAAUAUCAAAAAGUGUAUGUCUCAAUAUAAUCAAAUAUGUUCUUUAAAGAAUUUUAGAAAAGUUAGUGGAACAAACAAACAAAUGCUGUUUUCAAUAACAUUGUAAUGGAAGUUGAACGUUUUUAUAGUUUCUUUUUUUCUAAUAGUGAUUCCAUCAAUAGCAUCCAUGUAUAUCAUCUAACUUAAUCUUCACCUCAACUCUGGGACUCAGUGAAGGAUGAUACAACCUCCAAUAACAUCAUUCUCUUGAUAUUUCGAGAAUAAUAUUUUGCAGGUAUUAUCUGUGCAGUUCAACAGCUUUAGCAAAAGAUUUACCUCUUUCAGCAGAGCAGAAAUUUAGCCUGACAAAAGUGGGGAGGUAGAGAAUUAGUGUGAAAAAAGUUUCCCCUUUCCUUUCUCAAUUUAAAGGAAGGGUCACAGAAUAUGGGUCUGAAUGAGAGUCACAUAGUUUUGAAUUUCAUUUGGAGCCCCAAACACCACAAGCUGUAUACCCUUCAAUCAAAAAGAAAAUUAUAACUCUGAGCUGCAUUUCUAUCAGAGAAAAGCAAAUGUUGUGAUUUUUGCACUGAAAUCAAAUUUAGC
rnacentral:lncRNA from 10 species